UACGGGGGGGGGCAAGCGUUGUUCGGAAUUACUGGGCGUAAAGGGCUCGUAGGCGGCCAACUAAGUCGGAUGUGAAAUCCCCAGGCUUAACCUGGGAACUGCAUCUGAUACUGGAUGGCUUGAAUCCGGGAGAGGGAUGCAGAAUUCCAGGUGUAGCGGUGAAAUGCGUAGAUAUCUGGAGGAAUACCGGUGGCGAAGGCGGCAUCCUGGACCGGCAUUGACGCUGAGGAGCGAAAGCGUGGGGAGCGAACAGG
rnacentral:rRNA from 1 species